rnacentral:lncRNA from 1 species
CUCUUCUCUGUGGUACUGUUUUGAUUUGAAUAAAUUAUUAUACAAGCUUUACUAACUGAUCUACACCUCCCAGUCUUAUGUUUUGUUAAAACCUUAUUAUGAGAUGAAAAUGUAAUUUUAUUUAGUAUACUGUUGAGUGUUUUUUGAAUGUGAUAAUUGAGUUUCUUAUCUAAAAUAUUUAAAAGUGAAUAUAGAACUAUCUUUUUGCAAAUAUUGCUGUAAUAGCCGGUUCUUGAAGAAUGAAGUGCAAGAAUAUUUCGGCUGAGUUCCAUCGUGAAAGAGUUGGCGUUGCAUCUAGUGCAGAUGCUCGAUUCACCCAUAACAAGAUCGAAGAAUGGAUUGAUAAUCUUGAUAUUCAUGCUUAAGGCAGGCUCUAUCUUGAAAUAGUAGAUGCUCCUCCAGUGCUCGAUUUGGAUUUUCUAUCAAUACUAAGCUUGAAGUUGAACUGGUUUGUCGCCGCUUCAACGGAACUUGCUAUUAUACCACACAACCAAGAACAUCACCAUCUAUUUCACUUGACUAUUCCGUAUGGGUUGGUGAUUUAUACACUUUGACUGUUCUGUACUGUAUGGAAUUGAGUAUUCAUAAGAAU